UUCCACGUUUUCCGCGCCGUAGCUAACGCAUUAAGUGCCCCGCCUGGGGAGUACGGCCGCAAGGCUAAAACUCAAAGGAAUUGACGGGGGCCCGCACAAGCGGCGGAGCAUGCGGAUUAAUUCGAUGCAACGCGAAGAACCUUACCAAGGCUUGACAUGGACCGGACCGCCGCAGAAAUGUGGUUUCCCCUUUGGGGCCGGUUCACAGGUGGUGCAUGGUUGUCGUCAGCUCGUGUCGUGAGAUGUUGGGUUAAGUCCCGCAACGAGCGCAACCCUCGUUCCAUGUUGCCAGCGCGUAAUGGCGGGGACUCAUGGGAGACUGCCGGGG
rnacentral:rRNA from 1 species